GCAUACACACAUACUCAUAUAUAUGUGUCUGUAUGCAUAUUAUAUAUGUGUGCAUAUAUAUAUAUAAUUUGAAGAAAAAUAUGCUGGACUUGGAACGACUGAGAAACAAAACUGGACUGAGAACUGAAAGAGACAAGGGGGGCUGAGGUGGAGUGAUGCAUGUAAUGCUGGAACAGAAGUUAGUGGUUUCCUCUCGUGCUUCCUCUUCUGAGAGUGUUCUCCUCCCUGGGGGAAGGCUUAUCUCUUUCUUCCCCAGAAAGGCAGAAUAUACUUGGUGUUUGGGCUUUUGAACGACAUCGCAGACAGCUGUAGACUGACUCAUGCGUGAGCCCCAUCUAAGUUCUAAGUGUGUUCCCAUUUGCUGACCCUUGAGAUCUGUACAGGAGCCUCAUCCCGCUGAUAAGAAAGAUGGCUUCAAUGAAGCCUUAUUUCCCUGCUGACGUCUCCUUUGUUCCCUCUGGUCAGUGACCGUCAAGCAAUCUACUCAUAGUGAGAUCUCUCUGGGAGAGGCUUUAGACUCAAACAGGUUUGGCUGCCUCUCUUGUCUUUAUAGCCGCAGCUGCUCUGAUCAUCGGUAUUGACCGUGGCGCCUGGAUUGCUAGGAACACACAAACGUUCUCUUGCCUUUAUUUUUCAGGCUGCUCUCUCCUGGGACCACCAGGGGUACUCGUGGAUUUGAAGCCCGGACUGCAUCAUCGGAAUUUACACUCCCAUCUUAUCUCUGAACUCCCUCCUCUGCUUUCUCCUGCUCUUCUCUCCUCUGCUGGCUUCUCUUCCUGCGUCCUGGGAUCCCUUCCGGCUUUUCCUUCUGGGUAAACCAGUCCCUAAUCUCUUAGCACCCCAGAUUGAAAGGUGUGUCCCUCCCUGCCACACCCCAGAGCUGUCACCAAUAACCUCUUCCAGGUUUCCAUAACUACAUUGCUCAAUAAUUUGCCAAGGGUAACCAUUAACCCAGUCCUUAGCCCUGCUCCCCUUGAGAGAGGAUUUUCCAGUCACUGAUCAGCAGAACCAGGUCACCUCACACCAUCUCUGAACCUCAGGCAGGGUCUUAUUUUAGUGUAGCUAGGACAGUUUUUAAAUUAUGUGGUGUGUGUGUGUGUGUAUGUGUGUGUGUGUGUGUGUGUGUGUGUGUGUGUGUACAAGCAGCACAGGUGUGGAGGACAAAGGACAAUCUGGAAGUCAGUUUUUUUCCUUCUACAGAGUGAGUCCUGGAGAGAAUAUUGAAGGUACUUUUACCUGCUGAGCCAGCCCUGAUGAAGUUAUUUUUGUUUGUUUUCUUGUUAUUGUUUUUUUUUGUUUUGAAAAGUAUGUUGUUGUUUUUUUCCUCCCUCAGAAACCCCUUCCUUCUCCUUUCCCAUUCAAACGGAUCUUCAGUCAGAGAUACCCUGUAUCCUUAGGGGCAGGAGGGCUGUAGUAUGGUUGCAAUGUGCUCUAAUUAGGUCUACUCUUAGAAUUUAGCAUCUUUCAGAUACUUAUACUUCCUUUUCAGGGGUCCCCCAAAUAAUCAAUCCAGGUAUUGCUCUUGUUGGGAGUGGUCAUCCCCUACAAUCAGGAAACGUAGGCAAAGUAGGGCUGAAACAGGAGUUGGUUCGUACUUCCACAUAUUUAUUUCAAACACUCAUGCAGCGCUUAUUUUGUUUGCUGGGCACUGUUCUGAGUUCUUUAUAAAUAUUAACUUAGUGGGUACAAAUAUUAACCGAGCUGUCGCUGUUGGCACAGGUUGAAUUAAUGUUGCUUCUGCCCUCUCUCUUCAGGAAGGAGGAAGAACGCCUCUGGCCCUUUAAGGGCCGCCUUCCCGCACUGGCCCUCGGCGGCCCAGACCCUUUUUCCUGGCGGGGACCUUAGCUCUGCCCUCUGCCUUUGGGCGGGCUCCGCCCAGCAUCAAUCAAAGCUCAGAGGCACGGCUGCUUAGCAAAGGCAGAGGGCGGGAAUUUUGAACACUCUGGCACCGCCCCCAAUGCCAACGGACCAGUCAGCAUUUAGAGCCUUCCCCGCCUUCCCGUUGGAUAGCUAAGCAGACCCCUCCAGCCAAUAGCGACUAAGAGGGCGGGACGAGCGAGCCCGCGCGACCCACGCCCACAGGCUGGCUGGUCCUUCCCACAGGCUCGCGGCGGUUGGUCAGGGAGGUGGCUCGUCGCGGCUGAGAGUCGCCGAGCCCAUGGCUUUCAGAGCGACCCCAGGCCGGACGCCGCCGGGACCCGGCCCCGGGGUCCCCUCAGCCAGCUUCUCCAGCCCUCAGCCUGCAAUGGCGGCGCCUGGAGGUAUCGAGGAAGAGGACGAGGAGGAGCCGGCCGAGAUCCAUCUGUGUGUGCUGUGGAGCUCGGGUUAUCUGGGCAUUGCUUACUAUGACACUAGUGACUCCACGAUCCACUUCAUGCCAGAUGCCCCAGACCACGAGAGCCUGAAGCUUCUCCAGAGAGUUCUGGAUGAAAUCAACCCCCAGUCUGUUGUGACAAGCGCCAAACAGGAUGAGGCUAUGACUCAAUUUCUAGGGAAGCUUGCCUCCCAGGAGCACAGAGAGCCAAAGAGACCAGAAAUCAUCCUUCUGCCAAGCGUGGAUUUUGGUCCAGAGAUAAGCAAACAGCGCCUCCUUUCCGGAAACUACUCCUUCAUCUCCGAGUCCAUGACCGCCACUGAGAAAAUCCUCUUCCUCUCCUCCAUUAUUCCCUUUGACUGUGUCCUCACGGUCCGGGCACUUGGAGGGCUGCUCAAGUUCCUGAGUCGAAGAAGAGUUGGGGUUGAACUGGAGGACUACAGUGUUGGCGUCCCUAUCCUGGGAUUUAAGAAGUUUGUAUUGACCCAUCUGGUGAGCAUAGAUCAAGACACUUACAGCGUUCUACAGAUUUUCAAGAGUGAGUCUCACCCCUCAGUGUACAAAGUAGCCAGCGGGCUGAAGGAGGGGCUCAGCCUCUUUGGAAUCCUCAACAGAUGUCGCUGUAGGUGGGGACAGAAGCUGCUCAGGCUAUGGUUUACACGUCCGACCCGGGAGCUACGGGAGCUCAAUUCCCGUCUGGAUGUCAUUGAGUUUUUCCUGAUGCCUCAGAACCUGGACAUGGCCCAGAUGAUGCACCGUCUCCUGAGCCACAUCAAGAACGUGCCUCUGAUUCUGAAACGCAUGAAGUUGUCCCAUACCAAGGUCAGUGACUGGCAGGUGCUCUACAAGACUGUGUACAGCGCCCUCGGCCUGAGGGAUGCCUGCCGUUCCCUGCCCCAGUCCAUCCAGCUUUUUCGGGACAUUACCCAGGAGUUCUCUGACGACCUGCACCACAUUGCCAGCCUCAUCGGGAAGGUGGUGGACUUCGAGGAAAGUCUUGCUGAAAAUCGCUUCACAGUCCUCCCCAACAUAGAUCCUGAAAUAGACGCUAAAAAGAGAAGGCUGAUGGGGCUUCCGAGUUUCCUCACGGAAGUUGCUCAGAAGGAGCUGGAGAACCUGGACUCUUGCAUCCCCUCAUGCAGUGUCAUCUACAUCCCUCUGAUCGGCUUCCUCCUUUCCAUUCCCCGAUUGUCUUUCAUGGUGGAGGCCAGUGACUUUGAGAUUGAGGGACUGGACUUCAUGUUUCUCUCAGAGGACAAGCUGCACUACCGUAGUGCCCGGACCAAGGAGCUGGACGCACUGCUGGGAGACCUGCACUGCGAGAUCCGGGACCAGGAGAUGCUGCUGAUGCACCAGCUGCAGUGCCAGGUGCUGGCACGGGCUCCGGUCUUGACUCGGGUACUGGACCUUGCCUCCCGCCUGGACGUCCUGUUGGCUCUUGCCAGUGCCGCCCGGGACUACGGCUAUUCGAGACCGCAUUACUCUCCCUGCAUCCAGGGAGUACGAAUCAAGAAUGGCCGGCAUCCACUGAUGGAGCUGUGCGCACGGACCUUCGUGCCCAACUCCACAGACUGCGGUGGGGACCAGGGGAGGGUCAAAGUCAUCACUGGACCCAACUCUUCAGGGAAAAGCAUAUAUCUGAAACAGGUAGGCUUGAUCACCUUCAUGGCCCUGGUGGGCAGCUUCGUGCCUGCAGAGGAGGCAGAAAUUGGGGUAAUCGACGCCAUCUUCACCCGAAUUCACAGCUGCGAGUCCAUCUCCCUCGGUCUCUCCACCUUCAUGAUUGAUCUCAACCAGGUGGCGAAAGCAGUGAACAAUGCCACAGAGCACUCUCUGGUCCUUAUUGACGAAUUCGGGAAGGGAACCAACUCGGUGGAUGGUCUGGCACUUCUGACUGCUGUGCUCCGUCACUGGCUAGCACUGGGACCCAGCUGCCCGCACAUCUUUGUGGCCACCAACUUCCUGAGCCUUGUUCAGCUGCAGCUGCUGCCGCAAGGACCCCUGGUACAGUAUUUGACCAUGGAGACUUGUGAGGAUGGGAACGACCUUGUCUUCUUCUAUCAGCUUUGCCAUGGCGUCGCCAGUGCCAGCCAUGCCUCCUACACUGCGGCCCAGGCUGGACUUCCUGACCCACUCAUUGCUCGAGGCAAAGAGGUGAUGAGCAUUGUGUGCGACACCCCCACCACAGGGGGGGUACCCCCUUGAGUACAGCGUGGCUCCUCUAAGUUUUUUUUUUUUAAGAUUUACUUAUUUUAUGCAUAUGAGAGUCUCCUUGAGUUUAUGGAAAUGUACCACGGGUGCCCGGUGCGUGUGGAGGUCAGAAGACGACAUCGAAUCUCAGGAACCGGAGUUAUGAUGGCUCCUGAGCUGCCACGUGGGUGCUGGGAAUUGAGUCCAGGUCCUCUGUGAGAGUAGUCUCAGACUCGAUCCGCAGCGGGAAGCCCGUCAAGCCCAUGCAUGAACUUGUGAGGAGGACCCAGAUGGAAAAUUGCCAGGCCCUGGUGGAUAAAUUUCUAAAAUUGGACUUGGAAGAUCCCUCACUG